AGGGUACAACUGUGAGGGAUUGAGGUGGUAAGACUCCAUCCAAUGAGCUAAGGUCCUGAGCGGAAUAAAACGGAGAGAGUGAGAGCUGAACACCAGUUGCAUCUCUUUCCUUCCUGACUACAACUGAAAUACGUUUGGGGGACCAUGACCAGCUGGCCUCCUAUUCCUGCGUCUAAACCCUUCCCUGCCGGGAUAGACCGUAUCCCCUUGAACCGUAAGCCACAAUAACCAUUUACUCCUUUGGCUGCUUCCUGCUGGGUACUUCAUCACACCAACCAGAAAGGGCAAGUCCUGCGACAACAAAGCUGGAAUCACUACUUUACAGCAGAAAAAAAAUCAGUGUUCAGACAGUCAUACUGAUUUAAAUAUACUGCCCAAAGAGGGAAAUAAGCCAGGUGGUGGCAGUGGUGGUGGCAGCGGCGGCGGCGGCGGCGGCGGCGGCGCAUGCCUUUAAUCCCAGCACUCAGGAGGCAGACCAAGUUCCAUCUCAAAUCACACAAUCAAAAUAUACCUGUGCCUUGUUCAGAGAAGACCACACUGAAAAACUGGAAGGAGACUGGAAUUGACAUUAAAGCCCUCAAAUGUGGCUCAUACAUAUAAUCCUGGUACUCAGCAGGCUGAGGCAAGAGGGUUCUCAUGAGUUCUAGGCCAGCCCAGGCUACAUAGAGAGACCUUGUUUUGUAGGUAAAAAAAAAAUUAAAUCAA